CCUACGGGAGGCAGCAGUCGGGAAUAUUGCGCAAUGGAGGGAACUCUGACGCAGUGACGCCGCGUAUAGGAAGAAGGUUUUCGGAUUGUAAACUAUUGUCGUUAGGGAAGAAAAAAGACAGUACCUAAGGAGGAAGCCCCGGCUAACUAUGUGCCAGCAGCCGCGGUAAU
rnacentral:rRNA from 1 species